rnacentral:tRNA from 1 species
UCCCCAGUGGCUCAGCAGGUAGAGGACCUGCCCGUGGUGCAGGGGACCCGGGUUCGAUCCCUGGGUUGGGAA